AGUGAACGCUGGCGGUAGGCCUAACACAUGCAAGUCGAACGGCAGCACAGUAAGAGCUUGCUCUUACGGGUGGCGAGUGGCGGACGGGUGAGGAAUACAUCGGAAUCUACUUUUUCGUGGGGGAUAACGUAGGGAAACUUACGCUAAUACCGCAUACGACCUACGGGUGAAAGCAGGGGAUCUUCGGACCUUGCGCGAUUGAAUGAGCCGAUGUCGGAUUAGCUAGUUGGCGGGGUAAAGGUCCACCAAGGCGACGAUCCGUAGCUGGUCUGAGAGGAUGAUCCGCCACACUGGAACUGAGACACGGUCCAGACUCCUACGGGAGGCAGCAGUGGGGAAUAUUGGACAAUGGGCGCAAGCCUGAUCCAGCCAUACCGCGUGGGUGAAGAAGGCCUUCGGGUUGUAAAGCCCUUUUGUUGGGAAAGAAAAGCAGCAGGUUAAUACCCCGCUGUUCUGACGGUACCCAAAGAAUAAGCACCGGCUAACUUCGUG
rnacentral:rRNA from 1 species